GUUUGACAAGAGGAGGAACCUAGAGCACUUGCUGAUACUGUCUGCAAAACAUUUGGACUGCUGAAGUUGAGAGGAAUUUCAUACAAUAUUAUUGAUUUUCCAGGAGAAUGAAUGAGACAAUGAAGUCCAGUUGUGAAGUUGGUGGCAGCAGUUUUAAAAGAAAAACUCAAAAAACUCCAUCAUUUUCCUCAAAUAUCUGCACCUAUUUGGAUAAAAUCUAGACAAAUGACAUCGCAAUAAUAUACACAAGAGAUUCAAAUGUGCUACCUAAGGCUACCUUGGGUCAUUUCUGAUGCCUUUUUAUAGAAGCUGCAGAAGACUCUGCUGCUACCCAAACUGCUCGUUUCUUUCCAUUCUAGUCAGCUGAAAGUUCUACAUCAUCCAUAUGGUGUCUUGAAAUUGCCAGAGAAGCAGGACUGAGAGAAGCAGGGAAAGAAUGAAACACACAGGAACAGGUAAUGGGCUUUUAACAGGAACAGGUAAUGGGCUUUUAACAGAGGACGUAGGACAGUGGCUAAAAUACUGCAAAAAUAUACACCAUUUAGGAAAUCUGAAAAUACUUGAAUAAGCAUAACUAACAACCAUGUCCAAACAAAGGUAUUUCGUCUCCUUUCUAAAAGAGCUGGCAAUAGAAACUGCUGAGUCUCCUUUAUAGGCUUCAGUGAUCCCUUUCCUGAAGGAGGCAGGGGGAAGGGACGAGAAGGUAGGGUAGGACAGUAAUCAGUAUCUGUAAAACCCAGCUUUAAGAAGCAUACUUAAUGGUGGGGUUCUGGCAGACAAAUAUUGACAGUGCACUAAUGUCACUAAGCCAGUAGUGCUCUGCUGAAGGCUGGAAUGUGCGAGCCCCACAAAAGCCUGUCCAUGGGACACAGAGCACCACCACACUCACAGCACCUCUCAGCGCUACCACAUCCAUCAAAGGAGGGGGAUUUCUUACAAAAUUUGCUGCUUCCUUGGUUUUGGUUGUGGUUACUGUUGUUUUUCCUGUGGAAGGAGCCAAAGAACAGGACCGGGAUAAUGUUUUUUCUCUUGGAGGAAGCAAAGUCUGAGCAGUGUUUUUCUUUGACACGGGGAAAUGCCCAACACGCUGUUAAUCCCCGCAGGAGCAGAUCACAUGCUGGCACUUGCAUGUGCUGCACCUCCAACAGAGACUGCGUCUGGACCCACAUUGCACCCAGACUCAUAUCCCACCUCGGUGUCACCUCAUUUACAGGGGAAUUUUACUCUGCAGGCUGAGAUUCCAAAUGUAUAUUGAUGAGAACAUUAGCAGAGUUUUUUCUUGUUACCAUUUAAAAGCUGUGAGAAAAAAACUGGUGCAAGUUAACUGUUGGUGCCUGAAUAUCACAUCUGAAAUUCCACCUGAUAACUCAGUAUAUGCACUGAUCUGCUUUGAUUCACUAGAGCUGGAAGCUGAGAUACGUUUUAUGUGCACUGUGACUGACAUAAAACCUAGCUCAAGGUUAGACUACUUGUAUCUAUACUUUUCAUUUUUAGAGGUUUUAGCCUUUAGAUGUUCUCUCAAAAGAAAUACUUUUAUUUCAGUUUGUAUAUUAUUUUGAAGUAAAUAACUAAUUGAUAGAAUGGGGAUUCUAGCACUGAGCAAACCAUUAUUGCUUUUUCUGAAAAGCUGUUUGUUUCCUAUUCCAGUAUUAUAUUUACAUCCAACUACAGUCUCCUUUGGACCACAGAAAGGUUAAUCCAACACUGAACAGCGCAUAGAAAGGCUCCCAUCAAUUUCCAGUUGUUUGGCCUAUGGUCAUAGUGAUGGUCAGAAUUGGUAGCUAGGUCUGAUCUUCUUAAAAACUUCUAAGAGAAUGUUGUGGUGAUGUUUCUCAUCCUCAGUCACAGUUCACUAGUUCAUCCAGCAUGGUGUAAGGUGUCUCCACAAAAUGCAAUUUAGGCCAUUUAACGCUACUUGGAAUUGCAGAAAAGAAAAUACAAUGGUCUUCAGACGUAUCCUCUGUCAAAUUAAUCGUGGACUAUUGAUUCAGAGAUAGCAAAUGUCAGACACCCUUUUUUUUCAUUCUACCAUAAGCCAGGUAUGUGCAUGCAUUUCUGUAAAAGCUAGUGGUGUUUUUUCUACUCUAGUAUAUCACUAAGGAGAAUAGACGAUGCUGUGUGUACAACUCUAUUCACAGCAAAAGCCAAAUAAACCAAAAGAACUGCUUAUAGCUAGGCAGAUGUUCAUAAUCUUAAUUUUAUUAUCUCCAAACAACAGUGUUUGAUUCAAUACAUGAAAAGCAAUAAAUCAGGAAAUGUCCUGGCACAUGAAACGGGAAAAAAGAAACAUGGUAAUAAUCUGGGAAAACCCCUUCUGAUUUAGAUUAUCUGUGGCUUUUGCUUCAGAGAUGUUCAGACUGUGGUAUGGCAUAGGCCAUAACAGCUAUAUUAUGUUAUUGAGCACAUGAGUGUAUUAGCUGGCUGGGAAGAAGAGAGAAUAGUCAGAAUUGGACAGUCUGGCAGUUUUCUGAAGAUAACAAGCAGUGGAUACCAUUUAAUUUCAGAAUGACCACACCAGAUGGAAAAUCUAAUAUAUAAAAACAUCCAACCAUACAUAAAGGUGCUUGAUACAGUCUGUUUUCAUUUUUUCCUAAGUUAUUUUACUGUUUUGACUAAACGUGGAAAAAUUAUAUGUUUUCUGAACUGAGCUAAGGCCAAAGAAAGCCACAUCACUGUUUCCUUCAUUUGUUGUUCAAAUCCCCUCUAGGUCUUAUCUGACAUAUUUAUAGCUUUAUAUCCACGUUAAUUAAAAACUUUAAUGGGAUUUUGGUUCAACUGAUUAUAUACGCUAACAACAACGUUAAGCAUAUGCAUGGGAUUCAUGUAUACUCACAGCAUUUACAGCAUGUAUAAUUCUCAGCAGUAAUUUGUGGACUGUGGACUAGGUUUGCAAUCCAUCCAACAGUUUCCAUGAAAUGACUUGUAUGUAUCUUCUGUAGCCAACCAGAGAGAAAGACCAUAACAUGUCAUGGUAUGAUGCGCCAGCUGAUGUGAUUUCUUCCAGGAGAAUGGAGGCAAAGGAGGCUGGGAGGGAAGAAAUACCAAACGUUGUGCAGAUAAGGCAGAUGUUAUUUACAGUGAUAACUUUUGCCCAAGAAGACGAGUCUGCCAGAGCUCUAGAAACAAUGGAGAAAGCCUUGAGAGCUCCAGAUGUAGCUCAGAGCAUGAACCAUUGAUGCUAUUAAUUGCUUCCAAAGCGUAUUCUCUAUAUUGACCCUAUGCUACAGUUAGUUUCUGCCAAUAUGUUUCACAGUUUAUGCAGAAGUACCUUGAAAUGAAACACUUCGAUCUUGUUCAACAAACUAAAAUAACUUGACCUGGAUAGAUCUGACCCUAAACCAAAUAUUUAAUUGUGAUUUUGCUGACGUAAAUAUUUGAUUUUCAGAUGAAAGUUUUUGCUUUUCUGGUUAAAAAUGUUAAUAAAUAAAAAUGCAACAUAGGUGUUUCUUCAAUGAAAACAUAUGUUUUUCUUCUAAAAAUUUUAUAGAAUUUUUUUCUAUCAGAAUGUUUCUUAUAAAUACACCACAACAAAGUGUACAUAUAUUCACAUAAACACAAGAAUAUAUCCACUAGAUGCCUGAACAUAAUCUCAUAUUUAUUCAUUCUGUGGAAAGAUAUCAACAAUUAUCUAGCUGAUAGGUCAGGAUUGUCUAUUUCAGCUAGAUGAAAAAGAAGUUAAAAUAUGGGAAAUUUUAAAAAAAUCCAUAGAAACAAGCACAAAAGAGACCUUUUGCUUUCUUGGUAUGUAAAGAAAAUGCUAAAUAAACAAUUUGUGAACCCAGUAACGAAAGUCAACACUUAAAUCUGUGUGAGUUCUCCCUAUGUCUAUUUAUUUUUCUGACUCCAAAUAUUAAAUGCAAACUUCAAUACAAAGCCAAGAAUUAGGUUCCAUACAUGGAAAUGUCUUGGUGAUUGUAAAAAUUAAUGCUGUGGUGUCUCUAGUUGGGAGGUUUGGAAGAAAGGGAACUAAAAAAAAAAAGAGAAACUGUUCCACUUCAUCUAGCAGUGCUGCAAUACAUCACUCCAAUUAAAUCCCAGCCAAUAAGCAAAGGGACGUGUUAAGUAAAAUUCAUGAGCUUUGAAUGCAUGUGAAUGAAUAUGCCAAUCAGAAUCAAUGCCACCCAUUCAUCUGGUGUAACACCAUGGUGAUGACAAUGAGCUUGAAACCAGCCUUUGUUGUCAUCAGCUGUGCAGUAGUUGCCACAGCCCCAGCCUGGAUCAAAUGUGUGGGACAUUUAAAUCUUCAGCGUGGCACCAACACACAGAACAUCUUAUUCAUGCCAAAAAAGGAGCUAUAAUCAGCCUCCAAGUAAAUAAUUCAGGAUCAGUUCCUUGAGGGGCACAAAUUGCCUUCUUUUAAAAUGACCAAAAGGCUUUUCCUCUCUUUCCUUGACUUUACUAUGUGGACACAAGCACAGCUUUUUGUAACUGUGUAGUAUAUUUGACACUUUGGAAAAUCUGUUGCUGUAUUAAUGUCUGUAGCUCAGACUCCUGUGGGCCUGAACUGAUAGUGCCCUAGGAGGAUCUUUGCGGAGACCCUGCAUCUCAGCCCUUUUGAGUGCUGCAGUGGCAGAUGGCUAGCUCUCACUGCUUUUACAAUAACCAUUUCAUUUGUGAUGCUUGACCUGAAUUCCAUUCCUUGUUUAAAAGUGUGUCUCAGUUCUCAAACGGUAUUUCACAGAAUUGCCAUUUCCAUAGUGUUUCCACAUGCUGUUCUCCAAAUAACACAUUUGUCCAUAAAACAGGGUAGAAGAAAAGAAUAUGGAACUAAGUGCCACAAUUGAAAUUGUUUAAUCUAAGAAUACGUAUCCAAAUACUGAUGACAGCUUCAUUUUUAUUGGAUUUAAAUUAUACCACUGGUAUUUUCUUAUAUGUCAGUUUAUAUCAGUUACAGACCACAUUGUAUUUUUAAUGCUUUGUGCUAUGAGUUACAGUUCUCUUUCUUCCAUUGUGUUCUCAGUAGUUAUAACAUUGUAACUGUGAAAUGCUAUGGCAGAGAAACAGGCCUGCAAAUGGUGACCCACACGCAACGUCUUUGAAUAAAUUAAGCAUGCAUGCUUUCAGUAAUAGAUCCACCCAUUAAUCAGCGUGUUUAAAAAGAUGUGACAACUACUCUGUAGAACUGAUAUUCUUUCAAUUUGUCAGUGGGUAUUACUUGGUACUGAAUACUUUCUCUGCACAUUUCUCAUGUUAUUUCUCGGUUUGUGGGUAGGAAAUUAAUCUUACGAGGAAAAACAAGUGAUUCUAAGGAACUUUAUUUGGAAAGGGGUUCUUUCUGAGUUUUCUUCUGCAGCCACUUAAAAUCUCAAAGAGAGGGAGCUGAAGACAUCAUUCAAGUACACAUUUGAUUAAGAAAUAUUAAACAUGAUACCUAGACUGGCCAAGAAAGACAUGUAUCUUUUGGCCAUUGCCUCUCAUUCUCUGAGACUGAGUCCACAAGGAGUAAGAUAAACUUACUAGAGGACGACAAAGAGCUAUUGUAAAUGAUACUGCAGAAACGAUGUUGUCUGCCCAUUAAGAUUAUCUACAACCCUGUAUUGUGAUCCUUCUGUCAGUGAUCUAGUCUUUUCCUACCGGAAUUCUGCAAUGCAUUUCUUAAGAAAAAUAAAAGGGAUCCACAGCAUUUUGAUGCAAGUUCAUGUGACAGGCCCAAGUAUGAGAGAACUAUGAAACACACAGCAAAGAUACAUUCCACCUUACAGCAAAAGACAUAUUUCUUUAGACUCAAGUGAAUGGCAGAUUAUUUCCAGCUGUAACUAAACCCAUACUUUAUGGCAUUGUGCAGUUAAUAAUAACUGAAAUUUAAACAAGCGACAUAUCUCUGAACAUAUAUCCAUUUAGUUCUUUUUAAAAAGAGUGAUAAAUGGUUGUUUUCAUAAUUUCAGACAGAAACAUUGUACUUGAUCUGUGAUAACACAAAAGCAUGAGAGUAUCCUCUGUUGAUACUUCAUUCCUUCCAUUUUUUUCUACGUGUUGACUUUCAAAGACCCAGAAAGCACGUCCAGCAAGUAUAAAAUAAAAGGAAUCCCAAAACCAUGAGUCUUUUCUCAGGUUUAUCUCCAGGCAGCCACUAAGUAAAAUGAAAAGCUGACAAAAAUUCAAGUGUUAGCAAGAAGGAACAGACAUAUUCCUCUGGCUGUUCUUCAUAAUAUACAACCAUGCCAUUACCACCAUGGCAAAACCAGUUAAUUAAUGUUUUAAGCGGAUUGAAGAAAAUGAAGGUACUUUUCCUCACAGUGAGGAGGUUUCUGAAGUUCAUUGCCAUGUGGAACUUAUGGUUAAGAGUACAUAUCCACAGUUCAUAAACUUGGAAAAUUCUUGGAAAGGCUCCUGGUCUCCUUAUCUGCAACAAGUUAUCACAUGGCACACAUGAAAAAUGCUUCCUCCCACUAGUUUCUUAGGGGACGGAACCUCAGCCCAAAGCUGCCCACACCAUUCUCACACAGCUGGAUGACAGCAGCACAACUGGCAUGAAGCUAUCAACUCAGAAGAAACUUCUGCAUUGGACUCCUGCAUUGCUCUCUGCUCUGUAUCGCAAGUUGUCACAAGCUUCAUAGACCUGCCGUCUAUUUUAUUCUACUAAAUAAAUCUCAAGAUUUUGCUUCUUACUGUCAAGAUAGCAUUGGGCCCACACUAACUAACCAGAGGAGGUUUAGAUUGGAUACUAGGAAAAAAAUCUUCUAAAUGAUUGUAUGAAGCCUUUGGUCUACAGCUCAUCUAUGGUGAAAUGGUAUAGGACAUGUUUUUUGUAAUCUGGAAAGCUUUGUGGAAACUAAUGUUUUAUUAUAUUCUGUUUGGGUUUUGCAAUAACAGUCUGGCCUGACAGGUAAUUACUUUCUGUUUUACUUAAGUGGACCUAUUGGGAAAUAACUCACAAAAUUUGUUGCUUCUUGUUUGCUGCUGUGGUUUAAAUGUACACCAAAUAAACUAAACACCUUCUUGUAUUUAAAA